CACGGCACAGCACGGCACGGCUCCGCCACGCACCCCCGCAAAGUUCUUUACCCCAGAAACUGCUGCAGAGUGCCUUAGGAUAUGUUUCUGCUGUUACUUCUAAACACCUGGAAAAAAUUAUAGGGGAAGCGUGACUCAAGCCGUCUGUCACUGAGCAGAACUGCUGAGAGGGGAUGGCUGCUCAUUUCCAGACCCUUCCAGGCCUUGGGAAAACUCUGACAGCAGUGAGGUGCUUGGCUAAAAACUGCAUGUCAUGGGUUUGUGAGCAACAUAUAAAAUGCUGUGUGCAUACAUGUUUAUAAAUUAUAU